UGCGCGUACGUUUCGUGUUGGGUACACAACGACGCGCGAGACCGCUACCCCGGUACUGGUCGUCAUCGGGAAAUCUCCGGUCGUUCCGACGACCGCUGUGCACGCGGUAUCCGGGUGGCCGCGAGUACCGUUGGCGAUGGCGGUGAGUGUCCCAAGUCGUCUUCCGUCGCCUCCCGGCGGCCCCGCCUGACCGUUCCGUCGGUAAUGAAACUGCGAAAAUGACACGUCGACAACCGUCGCGCGACCAUCGAGACGCAGUCGGUACGGACCGGGCGGAGUGGUAAAAGAAUUCGUGGUACACGGGUUUGAACCUGCGAACGUCGGUCGAACAUGGUGGACGGAGCGGUUCGGUGCCUGCGUGAACCUGCUUCGCACAGUGACGCAGAUCACCGCGAACGCGUCAAUCGGUUUUUCGUAUUUCACGUUAUUUAUCACCAGCGUAACGUCGCAAUGGAAGCGAAAUCAUUCGAAGCCGUUCGUCCGCACAAAAUAUCGUAAGCCGAUUGCACGAAAUCGAAGUUAGAAAACGGUGGACAGGAUUGCUGAUGACCUCGAACAGAACAAUGAUUACGGCGAGUAGAUAAACACUUCGAUUAAGGCGGAAGGCCCGCGAAACAAAUCAAGACCAGUUACACGACUUGUCCGGUGUAGGUUAUAUACUGCGAUGAUACAGGCACGUGGAUAUUAAUAGAGUGUAAAAUAUCUUUCGUCAUGACCAUCAACAUCGCGCUCGGUAUGCAUAAUACCUCUAUUACAAUCACACAUCCGAUGGAACGAACAUUUUAAGUGCACGCCUAUCUUGCUGAAUCCUAUGCACUGUAAUUUCGCAUUUAAAGCGAACGUAUAUAAUUAUAAAACAUAAAUCUUUGACUUCCGGGAAACUCAGCCAACGUUGAAUAAGGAAGUAAGACCACAGUGCGUGAUUUGAACCACAGUUAUCAGUAAUUAUGCACUUAAACCUGCAAAAUUGGGACGACAUUUGAAGACAGUCCACCCAAAUGUUAGAAAUCGUUUUCGAGAAUUCUUUAAAGGUAAGAAGGAAAACUUUAAAAAAAUGAAACUUGGGACAAGUGGUAUAAGAUUUAAAACCUCUGAAAGAGUGCUUCAUGCCUCAUAUGAGAUCUCUCUAUUAAUUGCAAAAUCUAAAAAACCUCGUACGAUUGGUGAAACUUUGGUUAAACAGUGUUUGUUGAAAGCCACCAAUGUGAUUAUAGGUAAGGAAGCAGCAAAAAAGAAAUACAAGACAUUCCUUUAUCAAAUAACACGGUAAAAUCACGAAUAGAAAAUAUGUCACAAAACAUUGAAGAAUAGCUUAUAUAUCUCAUAAAAAAAUUUCUCUGGUUUGCUCUUCAGUGUGACAAAAGUACAGAUGUUGCAUAUUGUUGUCAAUUGCUAAUCUUUGUUCGAUUUUUAAGUGAAGAUAGUACAAUCAAAGAAGAAUUAUAAUUAUCACAAGUAUUAGAAACUACGUUAAAAGGGAUUGACGUUAUGAAAAUAAUUCUUGAUUUUGAAAAACAAACUAAUGUGGGAAUAUCUUGUUGGAUUUUGUACCGAUGGCGCCCCUGCUAUGCUCGGGUCACGUUCAGGUUUAGCUACAUUGGUAAAACAAAAAAAUCCAACCACAUAAACAGCGCACUGUAUUAUACAUCGUCAAGCGUUGGCGUCCAAAACAUUACUAAAAGACUUAGCUUUUGCAAUGAAAAUAUCCAGACAGUUAGUCAAUGCUGUUAAAAAUAGUACACUCAAUACAAGUUUUUCAAAAAUUAUGUGCAAAUAUGGACGCUGAGCAUGAAACAUUACUAUUUCAUACUGAAACAAGAUGGCUUUCAAAAGGAAAUAUGCUGGCAUGUUUAUUUGAGUUUCGAGAGGAGUUGAAGGGUUUUUUUAAUUGAUAAAGGUAUAAAAUAAUUACAUGAGCAAAUUUCUGAGCCAAAAAUUGAAAUGCAAAUUUCAUAUGUUGCAGAUAUAUUUGCUCAUUUAAAUUUAAAUUUGCAACUGCAAGGUUCUGGUAGUGUUAAACUUGAAGGUUCUGCAAAUAUUUUCGUAUUUGAAGAUAAAGUUCGCGCUUUUUUCUGUAAAAUAAAUCUUCGGAUUGACAAAACUCAAAUAAAAAAUUAUUACGCAUUUCCUACACUGCGAAUUCUUAUUGAUGACGAACACUAAAAAUGUUUUACUGAAGAUAUUCAAAAUAAAAUAUUAGAACACUUACGAAUCCUUAAAGAGGAAUUUACCAGAUACUUUUCAGAAUAUGGUGUAAGAGACACUGAUGCUUUUAAGAAGUUAAUUCAUAAUCUUUUCACUGUCGAAGUCAAGAACGUUCAAAAGGAAAUGCAAUAAUUAUUAGAGCUUCAGAAUGACAACACCUUUAAAAGUUAAUUUGAAUAUAAUACAAACUUAGAAGAGUUUUGGUGUAAAAAGGCUAAGGGGAUAUCAAUCCAAAUGUUCGGCAAACAGCAUUGCAUUUCCUCGUGGUUUUUUCAAUAUGUAUUUAAAUAUGUAUAUAUGCGAGCAAGAAUUUUCUUCACUACUUACUAUAAAAAAUAAAUAACGAAAUCGUCUAAAUCCAAGUGCUAAUAUGCGACUUGUACUGAGCAACAGCAUCGUUCCAAGAAUUUCACGACUGGUAAAAG